AGAGUUUGAUCCUGGCUCAGGACGAACGCUGGCGGCGUGCCUAACACAUGCAAGUCGAACGGGGUUAUAUAAGAAGCUUGCUUUGAAUAUAACCAAGUGGCGGACGGGUGAGUAACGCGUGAGGACCUGUCUCCGGCAGGGGGACAACAUUUGGAAACGGAUGCUAAUACCGCAUAAGCCGAGAGGUGAAAGGAGCAAUCCGGCAGGAGAGGGACUCGCGUUCUAUCAGCUAGUAGGCGGGGUAAAGGCCCACCUAGGCGAAGACGGAUAGCCGGACUGAGAGGUCGACCGGCCACACUGGAACUGAGACACGGUCCAGACACCUACGGGUGGCAGCAGUCGAGAAUCAUUCACAAUGGGGGAAACCCUGAUGGUGCGACGCCGCGUGGGGGAAUGAAGGUCUUCGGAUUGUAAACCCCUGUCAUGUGGGAGCAAAUUAAAAAGAUAGUACCACAAGAGGAAGAGACGGCUAACUCUGUGCCAGCAGCCGCGGUAAUACAGAGGUCUCAAGCGUUGUUCGGAAUCACUGGGCGUAAAGCGUGCGUAGGCUGUUUCGUAAGUCGUGUGUGAAAGGCGCGGGCUCAACCCGCGGACGGCACAUGAUACUGCGAGACUAGAGUAAUGGAGGGGGAACCGGAAUUCUCGGUGUAGCAGUGAAAUGCGUAGAUAUCGAGAGGAACACUCGUGGCGAAGGCGGGUUCCUGGACAUUAACUGACGCUGAGGCACGAAGGCCAGGGGAGCGAAAGGGAUUAGAUACCCCUGUAGUCCUGGCAGUAAACGGUGCACGCUUGGUGUGCGGGGAAUCGACCCCCUGCGUGCCGGAGCUAACGCGUUAAGCGUGCCGCCUGGGGAGUACGGUCGCAAGAUUAAAACUCAAAGAAAUUGACGGGGACCCGCACAAGCGGUGGAGUAUGUGGUUUAAUUCGAUGCAACGCGAAGAACCUUACCUGGGCUUGACAUGUAAUGAACAACAUGUGAAAGCAUGCGACUCUUCGGAGGCGUUACACAGGUGCUGCAUGGCCGUCGUCAGCUCGUGUCGUGAGAUGUUGGGUUAAGUCCCGCAACGAGCGCAACCC
rnacentral:rRNA from 1 species